UACAGGUUAUUCACGUGAUGCAAGCAUUCUCGUACGAAGUUCUCUUCAUUACCUCAGAGAUAAGAAAAUCAGCUGGUUUUCCUUAGGAAAUAUCUUUGCUAGCCUCGGGCAGUAUGCGUCGGCAGAAAUUUGUUUUAGAGAAGCAAUAGAGAUACAUCCAGGUUUUGAAAACGCAAAACAAAGGUUACACGCAGUGCUGUGUGAAAAAAAGUUGCAAAGAGCCUUGGAGCAACAGCAUGACAUUUUGAAGUCAAUAUUAGUAAGAAUGGAAAACUACCAAGAAAAACAAAAAAAGUUUGAAAAUGACGAAAAUGUUAUGUUGAGUCGAGUCGUGCCUGAAGAAUUACAGUUGAAAAAGCAUUACAUCAUUGAAAAAACUCUUGCACAGUUCGAGAGGACAUUGUAAAUUAUAAUAAAUUAUUUUCAUAUUUUUGUGGAAAUGUUACAAAUUUUGUAGGUACAGUUUUUUAAGGCAAUUUAAGAACUUUAUUCGAUUACAAUUGUCUUGUGGUCGACUUUUUUGUAUAACGAACGUGAUGUAAAGACAUGUCUAAAACCCAGAUUGUCAUCAGUUGUACAGACGUAAAUAGUAUAAUAUAUAUAUUUUAAUUUUA